rnacentral:lncRNA from 1 species
GGGCUGAGGAAGGGAAUAAGUGAAAUGCCUUUAUUACAUUUCUACUGGGCGCUAUGUAGGGUCUCCUAAUUAAGGCAACUCUCUGGAUAAAUAACAUUUCUCCUCAGCAGUAGUCUUCUAAGAUAUUUGCUCAUCGACGUGAAAGAUUUUUAUAAAACAAUCCUAACACAUUUCGCUGACAAAAUUUUUCAUCAUGAUGAGUUGAAAAAGAUUUCAUCUGGAUCUCGUUAUUGGGCCAUGAGAAAUAGCAGCCCGACCCUCACUCUGGUCUGGGAACAAAAUUUGGCAAGCCAGCCAGGAGAGACUGGGAUGGUGCUGUGUUCAGCGGCUAGCAGCUUGCAAUGAGACAGUCUUCAGGAGGAUCCCAGCAGCUGCUGAUGAGAUUUCCCAAGGACCCUCUUGAAGGCUGUUUCAUGCAGAAAAUUGCACAUCUCUUUCACUACUGGGGAAGAAUGGAGAUCAGGAGUGGAUGCACUCAAAGGGUCACAAUUGAAAAAACUGAUCAUUUUACCAAGGCUUUGACUGGAAUGGUGUGCUUUCCUUUAAGAAAUCAAACUUGACUUAUGGAGCCAACGGAACCCCAAGUUGUCUUGGAACCUCAAGAGGAGAGAAAUUCACCCAACACAUAGGAGCAAAACAAAAUUUCUCCUGGGCCGCACAGUUUGGCAAUUAUCUUUUGUUGCCUUGGCUGCAGCUACUAUGCCAUCAGCUCCCAACUCCUAACUUCAAUGAACCAAGGAGGUAUUUUUCUUAAACAAAGACCACUCCAACCCUGAAGAUUGGAAUUUCGCCACUGCCUGUAAGGAUAACAAGCUUUA